rnacentral:rRNA from 1 species
CAAUAGCGUAUAUUAAAGUUGUUGCAGUUAAAAAGCUCGUAGUUGGACUUCUGAUGUGAAAGAUCGGUCCACCGCAAGGUGAGCACUGAUUCUUCGCGUCUUCCUCUCGUAGUUGUUUCGCGCACUUAGUUGGGUGCGAGAUGAAUAUGGGACCUUACUUGAAAAAUUAGAGUGUUUAAAGCAGGCUUAUGCCGUUGAAUACAUUAGCAUGGAAUAAUAAGAUAGGACCGCGUGGUCGUCUUGUUGGUUUGCACCGCGAGGUAAUGAUUAAUAGGUACAGUUGGGGGUAUUCGUAUUUAAUUGUCAGAGGUGAAAUUCUUGGAUUUAUGAAAGACGAACUUCUGCGAAAGCAUUUACCAAGGAUGUUUUUCAUUAAUCAAGAACGAAAGUUAGGGGAUCGAAGACGAUUAGAU